rnacentral:rRNA from 1 species
UACGUAGGGGGCAAGCGUUGUCCGGAAUCAUUGGGCGUAAAGAGCGUGUAGGCGGCUCGGUAAGUCCGCUGUGAAAGUCGGGGGCUCAACCCUCGGAAGCCGGUGGAUACUGUCGGGCUCGAGUACGGAAGAGGCGAGUGGAAUUCCUGGUGUAGCGGUGAAAUGCGCAGAUAUCAGGAGGAACACCAAUUGCGAAGGCAGCUCGCUGGGACGUAACUGACGCUGAGACGCGAAAGCGUGGGGAGCAAACAGG